GCCGGAGUGGCGGAAUGGCAGACGCGCUAGACUCAAAAUCUGGUGCUCGUAAGAGCGUGCGGGUUCAAGUCCCGCCUCCGGUACCA
rnacentral:tRNA from 1 species